UCUAAUUUCUCCAUCGUGUGUGUGUGUGUGUGUGUGUAUGUGUGUGUGUGCUCGUUUGUGUGAUCAUGGAAGCCAACGGACAACAUUGGGCACCACUCUUUAGGCGUUGUGCUUUGAGACAGGAUCUCUCAUAGGCCUGAGAUUCACCAAGUAGGCUAGGCUUGUCAGCAUGCCAGGGAUCUACCACAGUUUUUACCUUCUCAGCA
rnacentral:lncRNA from 1 species